rnacentral:rRNA from 1 species
GACGAACGCUGGCGGCGUGCUUAACACAUGCAAGUCGAACGGAAAGGCCCUGCUUUUGUGGGGUGCUCGAGUGGCGAACGGGUGAGUAACACGUGAGUAACCUGCCCUUGACUUUGGGAUAACUUCAGGAAACUGGGGCUAAUACCGGAUAGGAGCUCCUGCUGCAUGGUGGGGGUUGGAAAGUUUCGGCGGUUGGGGAUGGACUCGCGGCUUAUCAGCUUGUUGGUGGGGUAGUGGCUUACCAAGGCUUUGACGGGUAGCCGGCCUGAGAGGGUGACCGGCCACAUUGGGACUGAGAUACGGCCCAGACUCCUACGGGAGGCAGCAGUGGGGAAUAUUGCACAAUGGGCGGAAGCCUGAUGCAGCAACGCCGCGUGCGGGAUGACGGCCUUCGGGUUGUAAACCGCUUUCGCCUGUGACGAAGCGUGAGUGACGGUAAUGGGUAAAGAAGCACCGGCUAACUACGUGCCAGCAGCCGCGGUGAUACGUAGGGUGCGAGCGUUGUCCGGAUUUAUUGGGCGUAAAGGGCUCGUGGGUGGUUGAUCGCGUCGGAAGUGUAAUCUUGGGGCUUAACCCUGAGCGUGCUUUCGAUACGGGUUGACUUGAGGAAGGUAGGGGAGAAUGGAAUUCCUGGUGGAGCGGUGGAAUGCGCAGAUAUCAGGAGGAACACCAGUGGCGAAGGCGGUUCUCUGGGCCUUUCCUGACGCUGAGGAGCGAAAGCGUGGGGAGCGAACAGGCUUAGAUACCCUGGUAGUCCACGCUGUAAACGGUGGGUACUAGGUGUGGGGUCCAUUCCACGGGUUCCGUGCCGUAGCUAACGCUUUAAGUACCCCGCCUGGGGAGUACGGCCGCAAGGCUAAAACUCAAAGGAAUUGACUGGGCCCCGCACAAGCGGCGGAGCAUGCGGAUUAAUUCGAUGCAACGCGUAGAACCUUACCUGGGUUUGACAUGGAUCGGGAGCGCUCAGAGAUGGGUGUGCCUCUUUUGGGGUCGGUUCACAGGUGGUGCAUGGCUGUCGUCAGCUCGUGUCGUGAGAUGUUGGGUUAAGUCCCGCAACGAGCGCAACCCUUGUUCACUGUUGCCAGCACGUUAUGGUGGGGACUCAGUGGAGACCGCCGGGGUCAACUCGGAGGAAGGUGGGGAUGACGUCAAGUCAUCAUGCCCCUUAUGUCCAGGGCUUCACGCAUGCUACAAUGGCUGGUACAGAGAGUGGCGAGCCUGUGAGGGUGAGCGAAUCUCGGAAAGCCGGUCUCAGUUCGGAUUGGGGUCUGCAACUCGACCUCAUGAAGUCGGAGUCGCUAGUAAUCGCAGAUCGGCAACGCUGCGGUGAAUACGUUCCCGGG